rnacentral:rRNA from 1 species
AUGGGCGACGCGCCCCCGCCGGCCCCCGCGCCGCCCGUCGAGGGGGGAGGAAGCGAUGGGGCCGGGCCUGACCCUAACUCGCACCGGUUGAGCCCGGAGACCGUGUCGGUGGAGCUCUCCAUGGGCGGGGACUACUACCACGCCUGCUGCGGCGACCCCGACCCCGACCCCAAGCCCGAGGGACCCCAGGUACCGUACAUCGGUAACAAGGAACCUCUCUCCGCCUUAGCAGCAGAGUUCCAGUCUGGCAGCCCCAUUUUACAGGAGAAAAUAAAGUUGCUUGGUGAACAAUAUGAUGCUUUAAGACGAACACGAGGAGAUGGAAACUGCUUUUAUCGAAGCUUUAUGUUCUCCUACCUGGAACAUAUCCUUGAGACACAAGAUAGAGCUGAGGUUGAGCGCAUCCUAAAAAACAUUGAACAGUGCAAGAAGACACUUUCGGGUCUUGGAUACAUUGAAUUCACUUUUGAAGACUUCUUCUCUAUGUUCAUUGAGGAGCUGCAAAAUGUUCUGCAGGGGCAUGAAACUUCUAUUGGGCCUGAAGAACUUCUAGAAAGAACCAGGGAUCAAACGACUUCUGAUUAUGUUGUCAUGUUCUUUAGGUUUGUUACCUCUGGUGAAAUUCAAAGGAGGGCUGAGUUCUUUGAACCAUUUAUUUCUGGCUUGACAAAUUCGACCGUGGCUCAGUUUUGCAAGUCUUCUGUGGAGCCAAUGGGCGAGGAAAGCGACCAUGUGCACAUUAUUGCUCUGUCAGAUGCGUUAGGGGUGCCAAUCCGCGUGAUGUACCUAGACCGAAGCUCUUGUGACACAGGCAAUCUAAGCGUGAACCACCAUGAUUUCAUCCCUGCAACCAAUUCCUCUGAAGGUGAUGCUGCAAUGGGAUUAAAUCCGGCUGAGGAGAAACCUUACAUUACUCUGCUCUACCGGCCUGGUCACUAUGAUAUUCUCUACCCAAAGUGA